rnacentral:rRNA from 1 species
AUUGAACGCUGGCGGCAGGCCUAACACAUGCAAGUCGAGCGGAAACGAGUUAUCUGAACCUUCGGGGAAUGAUAACGGCGUCGAGCGGCGGACGGGUGAGUAAUGCCUAGGAAAUUGCCCUGAUGUGGGGGAUAACCAUUGGAAACGAUGGCCAAUACCGCAUGAUGCCUACGGGCCAAAGAGGGGGACCUUCGGGCCUCUCGCGUCAGGAUAUGCCUAGGUGGGAUUAGCUAGUUGGUGAGGUAAGGGCUCACCAAGGCAACGAUCCCUAGCUGGUCUGAGAGGAUGAUCAGCCACACUGGAACUGAGACACGGUCCAGACUCCUACGGGAGGCAGCAGUGGGGAAUAUUGCACAAUGGGCGCAAGCCUGAUGCAGCCAUGCCGCGUGUAUGAAGAAGGCCUUCGGGUUGUAAAGUACUUUCAGCAGUGAGGAAGGCGGGUACGUUAAUAGCGUGCUCGUUUGACGUUAGCUGCAGAAGAAGCACCGGCUAACUCCGUGCCAGCAGCCGCGGUAAUACGGAGGGUGCGAGCGUUAAUCGGAAUUACUGGGCGUAAAGCGCAUGCAGGUGGUUUGUUAAGUCAGAUGUGAAAGCCCGGGGCUCAACCUCGGAAUAGCAUUUGAAACUGGCAGACUAGAGUACUGUAGAGGGGGGUAGAAUUUCAGGUGUAGCGGUGAAAUGCGUAGAGAUCUGAAGGAAUACCGGUGGCGAAGGCGGCCCCCUGGACAGAUACUGACACUCAGAUGUGAAAGCGUGGGGAGCAAACAGG